rnacentral:rRNA from 1 species
GACGAACGCUGGCGGCGUGCCUAAUACAUGCAAGUAGAACGCUGAAGGAGGAGCUUGCUCUUCUGGAUGAGUUGCGAACGGGUGAGUAACGCGUAGGUAACCUGCCUGGUAGCGGGGGAUAACUAUUGGAAACGAUAGCUAAUACCGCAUAACAGUAGAUGUUGCAUGACAUUUACUUAAAAGGUGCAAUUGCAUCACUACCAGAUGGACCUGCGUUGUAUUAGCUAGUUGGUGGGGUAACGGCUCACCAAGGCGACGAUACAUAGCCGACCUGAGAGGGUGAUCGGCCACACUGGGACUGAGACACGGCCCAGACUCCUACGGGAGGCAGCAGUAGGGAAUCUUCGGCAAUGGACGGAAGUCUGACCGAGCAACGCCGCGUGAGUGAAGAAGGUUUUCGGAUCGUAAAGCUCUGUUGUAAGAGAAGAACGAGUGUGAAAGUGGAAAGUUCACACUGUGACGGUAUCUUACCAGAAAGGGACGGCUAGCUACGUG